rnacentral:rRNA from 1 species
UACGAAGGGUGCAAGCGUUACUCGGAAUUACUGGGCGUAAAGCGUGCGUAGGCGGUUCGUUAAGUCUGUCGUGAAAGCCCUGGGCUCAACCUGGGAAUUGCGAUGGAUACUGGCGAGCUAGAGUACGGUAGAGGAUGGUGGAAUUCCCGGUGUAGCGGUGAAAUGCGUAGAGAUCGGGAGGAACACCCGUGGCGAAGGCGGCCAUCUGGACCAGUACUGACGCUGAGGUGCGAAAGCGUGGGGAGCAAACAGG